UAGAACAUGCACUCUUUUAGCAGCCAGACU
rnacentral:piRNA from 1 species